rnacentral:rRNA from 1 species
AAUACGAGAUGCUACGGCGCCGAAGCAGUCUAUGUCAUACUUCCAAGAAAAGCUUGCACUGUCAUAAACAAAUAAUGCCUGUACCAUAACCGACACAGGUGGGUAGGUAGAGUAUACUAAGGGGCGCGAGAUAACUCUCUCUAAGGAACUCGGCAAAAUGACUCCGUAACUUCGGGAGAAGGAGUGCCUUAUUUAUAAGGUUGCAAUAACAAGAUCCAAGCAACUGUUUACCAAAAACACAAGUCUCCGCUAAGUCGUAAGACGAUGUAUGGGGGCUGACGCCUGCCCAGUGCCAGAAGGUUAAAGAAGUUGGUUAGCAUCCGCGAAGCUGAUAACUGAAGCCCUGGUGAACGGCGGCCGUAACUAUAACGGUCCUAAGGUAGCGAAAUUCCUUGUCGGGUAAGUUCCGACCCGCACGAAAGGCGUAAUGAUUUGGAUACUGUCUCGGAGAGGGGCUCGGUGAAAUAGACUUGUCUGUGAAGAUGCGGACUACCUGCACCAGGACAGAAAGACCCUAUGAAGCUUUACUGUAACCUGAAAUUGAAAUUGGACUUUACUUGCGCAGUAUAGGUGGGAGGCGUUGAGAAUAUUCUUGCGGGAUUAUUGGAGCCAUCAGUGAGAUACCACUCUUGUAAUGUUAGAUUUCUAACUUUGUAUCAUUAUCUGGUCAAAGAACAGUUUCAGGCGGGCAGUUUGACUGGGGCGGUCGCCUCCUAAACGGUAACGGAGGCGCACAAAGGUUUCCUCUGAACGGGUAGAAAUCGUAUCUAGAGUGUAAAGGCAUAAGGAAGCUUGACUGUGAGACCUACAAGUCGAGCAGGGACGAAAGUCGGUCUUAGUGAUCUGACGGUGCUGAGUGGAAAGGCCGUCACUCAACGGAUAAAAGUUACUCUAGGAUAACAGGCUGAUCUCCCCCAAGAGUUCACAUCGACGGGGAGGUUUGGCACCUCGAUGUCGGCUCAUCGCAUCCUGGGGCGGUAGUACGUCCCAAGGGUUGGGCUGUUCGCCCAUGAAAGCGGUACGCGAGCUGGGUUCAGAACGUCGUGAGACAGUUCGGUCCAUAUCCGGUGUAGGCGUUAGAAUAUUGAGAGGAGCCUUCUUUAGUACGAGAGGACCGAGAAGGACAUACCUCUGGUGUACCAGUUAUCGUGCCAACGGUAAACGCUGGGUAGCUAUGUGUGGAGUGGAUAACCGCUGAAAGCAUCUAAGUGGGAAGCCCACCUCAAGAUAAG